CCCCCAGUUAUCCCACAAGUUUUUCAAGACAAAGCUCUUUCUACCUGAGUAAAAUACUCUUUUCUCCAAGCAAGACACGGACAAAAAUACCAGAAUUAUUUAAAAUACUUUCAGUUCACACAUCAUUUCACCAGAACACCACAAGAAUUUGGAUGGAUGAACUCCCCAACCUCACACCACAACUCUUCUUCAGUCAAGAAAUUGCAAAACAAUUGGAAAAUGUAUCUGAAAUGGAGGAGACACCUGCCCAGAAACUAUUUUAAUCAGCCUGUUCCUGAAAGACUGUAUCCUGUAGAAAUGGACCAACACUGGAGCAAUUAGUGAAGAACUGCAGCCCAAAGGAAUAACCCACGUUGGAGGAGGCUGAGAAGGACAGUUUCCUAUAGGAUGGACCCCAUGACAGAGCAGGGGAAGAGCAUCAGGAGGGAGAAGCACCAGUGACAAAGUGCUGUGAAUAGUCUGUAACCCUUCAAGUUGAGUCUUGUAAGAUGUGUGUGUGGCAAAAAGUGGUUUUAGAUUUGCUCUAAUUUCUCCCCAUCCUAGUCUGAUAUUAAUUAGCAUUAAUUAAAAUCAAUUUCCCCAAGAUCAUCUUGUUUUUCCUAUCAUGGUAAAUGGUAAGAGAUCUCUCAACCCCUAUUCUGAUCCAAAACUCUCCCCUGUGUUUUAAUUAACUGAGCGGG
rnacentral:lncRNA from 1 species